CACGUAGGCGGAUUGGUCAGUUAGGGGUGAAAUCCCAGAGCUCAACUCUGGAACUGCCUUUAAUACUGCCAGUCUUGAGUCCGAGAGAGGUGAGUGGAACUCCGAGUGUAGAGGUGGAAUUCGUAGAUAUUCGGAAGAACACCAGUGGCGAAGGCGGCUCACUGGCUCGGUACUGACGCUGAGGUGCGAAAGCGUGGGGAACAAACA
rnacentral:rRNA from 1 species